GUGGCUUUCCUUGAUGCCAGGAAGAGAUCAGUGAGCCUCUGGCCAGAAUCUGCCAGUAUUGCUGUAGUCACUCCUUUACUGAUAAAGAAAUGGAGGCUCAGAAGACAGCAACUUACCCAAGGGUCAAGCAGCUGAAGUGGCAGCAUUGGGACUCAGCUUAGGUUCUGCUUGAAUUCUUGCCCUGGCUCUUGGUGAAGGAUCGGCCUGCUGGAUCUGAGUCAUCCACCUAUAAGAGGGACAACACCACACAUUGGUCGCUGCUCUCAAGCCCCUGGAAUACCACCCCACUUGGCUUCUCCUGAUACCACCCACAUAAACAAAAACUUUUUGGGAGUCCUCCAGAAUUUUUAAGAGUUAUCUAAACUAUUGCCUUUAAUGACCAGGAACUCCAAUUUGAGAAGUUACCCUACGUUAAGCCAACAGCAGCCUGGCUCCUUCAUCCUGUGCAGUAUGGGACAGAGCUGGGUCCUUGUUGUCAUCAGCCAGACAAGCACACAUUAAAGCCCACCUUAGCCAUUGGCAUUACAGCUUUAAAAGCAGCUCCAUCCUACCAUGCUGUCACUCUACUCAAUCACGUGAUCUUAACGACCAGCUCUACAUAUCCUCUCUCCAUGCCCCCACCACCAUCCCCCACCAACAAAUCCGGUAAUCUAUCUCUGUCAAUAGUCCUGCAGUGAAUUCCGAAUAAGUUUUUCUCUUCCCUGGCCUGCCGUUUACGUAGUACCCUGGAUGAAUCUAUACUUACUCCAUAGUAAGUAGUACCUUGGAUGAAUCUAUACUUGCAUCCAAUGGAAAUGAGAGUGAUGGUGCAGAGUUAUCCGAAGUAACUCCAGCUAUGUUGUGGAUCUUCUAAUCAUGGGCUCAUCUAAGCCUUCCCAGAUAUCACUCUAGUUUUUACAAUCUUUGUUUAUGACAAUUAGGGCUGUAACAUUGGCUGUAGACAUUUGUUGCAUCAAGGAACUCAGCUUCCACUGAAGUUCUGAAGUUAAUCAGUUUCUGAUCUUGUUCUGCAACUCUCUGCAAGAAGAAAAAUCACCAGGAAAUAGUGCAUCCUGAAAGGAGUCAAAGUUUCCUUAUCCAGCUGGAGCAGUGUGAUCUCGGACCAGAGUCAAUUCCUUGCCCAACAGACUUCACAUUGAGCCAUGAGAAGCAGCCUACUUACCCUUACCUGGACACUUCUCCAAAACCUGUGAAAUGGCCUCUGUCACUGCCUCAAAGCCUCAUCCUUGGUGGGCAACUCACCUGGAUCCUGAGACCAAAAUAUAGAGCUUAAUGAACUGCUCCUCUGCUGUAAACCUACUAUCUUUUCACACUAAGAUGUAGAUAUUCUCGCCUUGCUCUACCCAGUGGUGAGCAAGGAUGUUAAUCUAGUUCUUACUUCCCCUGAGAGCCUCUUGCAACUUCACUGUUAAUAGAAAUCACUCUUUUAUGCUUGCAAAGCAUAUCCUUAUCCUUUGGUAUAAGGAAUUUAUACAAAGAUGCACAGGACUGGUGGGGUAACAAGAAAAGCCAUUUCCCUAACUGCCUGCUUAAUCUGGAUCCAAGUGCUGCUAAGACAAAGAAGUACAACAAAUUUAAUAGGAAACCAGAACAAAACCCUAAAACGAACGCUCAAGGUUGUUUGGGUUACAACCUCAGCUUGAGAGAUCUGCUCUGGCAUUUAUACUUCCUAAAAUAGAGAAUUUGAGUGAAUGAGGUGGCCACCAUCCAAAUGAAGUGCCUCAACUGGGAAGAGAUUCAUGCCAACCUGCUAGGGCAUGGUGUUUAGCCUUUCUUAUAUUUAGUCAAUUCAUGGGCUCAUCAUUUGGGGUGAGGUCAUCAGGAUGGUGCCACUCAAUUCACUUGGCAAGAGCCACAGCAACUGAUGUAGGAAGAAGCCUGUUGGAGUUUCUUUUACUAAAGGGCACCUGGGGGCCAAGGAUACAUGGAGUCUUCAUGAAUUAAUGAAUGAAGCCCCUCAACUGGCUCAGUAUAAUUAUUCUCAGGGGACAUCUUUAUAUUCUCUUACAGUUAAAGUCCUGGUGGGGCUAGCUUUUCAAAAUAAUGACUCCAAUUUUGAGGCAGUUCAGAGAAUUUAGUGGAUUGAUUUUUCAAUAUCUCUGUCUGUUACUGAUUAAUUUGUUGAGAGUGAAUGUAGGCAUCAGCUCUAAUUUCCUUGAACAGCUUUUAUAAGUGACUUACAUGUAUAAAGGGCAUCCUCCAAAACCAUUUUAAUUUUUAAAGAUGCCAAACAAUUUGAUAAUUAAGUUCUAUAAAUGUGGACUAGUAUUUCCCAAACUGUGCCCUCUAGGAAAUGCUUCUAGGAGAUGUUAAUAGGUACACAACAAAAAUAAGUGAAUGAAAGAAAAAUUUUCAAUCCAUUGUCAGAAAACUUUGGAAAGAAUUUGUUUACUAUAGGGGACUCUUCUUGGAGAUUUACUCUCCAAUUAGUAUAUUUAAAGACCUGAGAAGUUCCAUUGUAAAGAAAUUUGCUUUUAAUUAACCAAGCAUUUCCCAAAUUUACCUUAACACAGACAAUUUUUAAAUUUUUCCUUAUGCUUCCCCAGAUCCUAAUUUUAGGACAUAUUGAUCUAUGUAAAUUUUAAGUCAAAUGUAUAAUUUUGAAACAUGUGUAGAACUUAAAUGGAACAGGAUAGGGAAUAAGACUUACUUUAAAUCAAGUCCUCAGGAAAAACAAUUCGAGAUAAAAAACUUGUGUGGGGAAGUUUACUGGGUGGUGUUCUCAGGUUCAAUUCCUGCAAGGAAGUAAAGACAUAGCACUGGGCCGAGGGAGAAUUUGAACUGUGUUCUAGCCACAACAAAGUUCUCAUUCUGUCAUAGGGGAUCACCGAAGCCGGAAUGGGCUUUUACAUUUGUCCUGCCUUGAGGCAGCGGGGCUGGGCAUUCAUAACCCUCCUUACCAGGUUGCUUCCAGGAAGAGGUCAUGAUCCUGGGGUGGAUCAAGAACUGCUAUCUUGGGUUGAGGGUAAUUCUUGAAGAAGGAUUCAGCCAGAGUCCCCAUGUCUUAGAGAGGCCAUCAACAAUUCGGAGAUUUAGUGCCUCAUCCCUAAAGAGGGCACUGGAGGGGCUCCAUGGCAGCCUCUACUUUGUGCCACUUGGAUCCAUUUGCUUUGUAGAUUAAGUUCUGAGAACAUUUCCUCCAGGAUCUCGGUUGGUCAUUUCUCUUGGAGAAACUUACAAGAAAAAGGAAAUGGAGGAACUACAGCCUCACCACAUGCAGCUCAUAUAGAGGUUGCAAAUGACAUUCAUCAGCUCCUCCUCAAGUACCAUUCCAGAUCCCCUUGUCCACGGGUGGUAACUUUGUUGGUCCAUGUGGCUGGCCUGAUGUAGUGACCAGACUUUGAUCUCUGAGGGGCCUGAGCUUCAUAGCCACGACUGCUGCACUUCCAUUCAUUACCAAAAUUGCUCCCAUUGGGUAACGGCAGCUCUAUCUCCUCCUUAUAAUAGAGCCGGGAGGCUGGCUCCUCUCCUUGCUUACUGUUGGCACAAGGAGUCAAACGUGACCACUGACAGCCAUAGCUAACAUUUAAUGGGAGCCCUCCUGGGUUUCCUGGUGGAAGCAUUUUUUUUUGGUCUGAAAACCAGAACCUCUAAACCCAUAAAGUUGGGAGUUAUAGAAAUGGGAAACACAAAUUUCACAAGUGUGUCAGUAGUACUGAUGGGAAGUGGGGCAACUCCUAAUCGUCUCCCUUGGUUUCUGGAUUUACCUAUUGAGAACACAGAACCAUGAAAAGGCAGUUGAUUUAGAGCAGUAGCUUUCAAACUUUUGGUCUCAGGACCCCUUUACACUGUUAAAAUUAUUUUAAACAGAAGCCCAAAGCUCAUUGAGGGUGAUAACUACCAAUACUUACUGAAUUAGAAAUUAAAACUGAGGAAACUUUAAAAUACUUCAACUCAUUUGAAGAUAGGGUGGAACACACUGCAUGUUAACAGAUAUAACACCUUCAUAUAAUUAUUAUGAAGUUAGUUUUGACCUCAUGGAACCCUGGAAUCUCUCCUAAAGUGUCAGAUUGUCCCAGAAUAGGAAGGAGCAUAGUGAAGGACACUUGGCAGGUGAAUUUUACUUGCCUUGGUUUGUAAUACCUGAUUCUUAAAAGAAGCUAUGAAAUGUGUUGACGUUGUAGUGAAGUCUGGUCUACUUUAGUGGAAGUGCUUCCUUGAUUUACUCAUUAAUUCCUUUGCCAACAAAAUGAAAUGUUAUUCCUCACUUUCUGUGUAAUCUGCCUAAUAGCAAAGCUUCUUUAUGUUAGCUUUGUUACAUCCUUGAUUAUUCAAGAAAAAAGUAUCAAGUUAUAAAAGAACUUACAUAUUCUUUACAAUCAUGUUACUAUCUACAUUUAAAAAAAUGCUAUUUUGAUUAAAUAGAUAACUAAAUAUCAUUUUCAGGCACCCACAAUCAUAUGUUAAUCAAAUGUCCAAAUCUCCUCUGACAACUUUUUGAUUUUUGCCUUCUCAAAAUCAAAUCCAAAUAUAGAAACAUAUAAGUAAAAAAAGAAUAUUUCAAGAUAUCUUUUACAUCAAAAUCCAUUUUGAGAUUCCCAGAGGGUCCCUGGAAAAUUGCAAAGAUUUGUUUUUUCACUUUAUAAGAAGAGAGGUACUAGAGAUAAUUAGCGUUUUUGAUAUGUUACUAUUAUAAAGUUUCAUGGGAAAAGUUGUCAAAUCAGAAGAGACAUUCAGUUAAAUUUGGGUAUUUAAAAUAUUUUAUUAAUGUAAUGAUUUCAGAAAUUAUAUGAUUUUGGAAAGUCCCUGGAGAUUUGUCAGUGACCUCGCAUUCUAUGUUUUAACUUCUGAGGGAACGUUGACCUAAACUCUGUGGAUUUUUUCCAUAUUCACCAGAAUCUUUGUGUUGCUUUGCCUGAUGAUACUAGACAACAACUGUAUGUUAUUAGUCAUAAUUUCCAUUAUUAUUUAAAAUAUGAACUUCAUCACAGACUUAAUUCUUUAAUUUGACUUUAAUAUAUUCUAUGCCACUGAUUUUCUUUUUUUCUUUUUUUUUGAGACAGUCUCACUCUGUCGCCCAGGCUGGAGUGCAGUGGGGUGAUCUUGGCUCACUGCAAGCUCCGCCUCCCAGGUUCAAGCGAUUCUCCUAACUCAGCCUCCCUAGUAGCUGGGAUUACAGCCUGGUGCCACCACGGCCGGCUAAUUUUUGUAUUUUUAAUAGAGACAGGGUUUCACCAUGUUGGCCAGGCUGGUCUCAAACUCCUGACCUCAAGUGAUCUGCCCACCUCAGCCUCCCAAAGUGCUGGGAUUACAAGCGUGAGCCACUGCACCCGGCCUGAUUUUCAAUUGGGGAUGCACCUCAAACUUACUUACGGAGUUAUAUAAAAAUACAGAUGUCUAGGACCGAUGCCAGAUUUACUGAAUCUCUUUUUAUUCUUGAUAUUUUCUUAGUAUAUGUUUGCUGUAAUCUUAGUAUAUUAUUAUAUUAUGUCUCGGUUAUUAUAUCUCAAGGCUUUUCCUCUCUAAAAUUAUGUUCUCCUAUUUUACAAAUCAGAUGUAACAUUCACUGACUCCUCUGAAAAUAGGCCUAAUCAUUCUUCUUAGAGACAUAUUGUCUGAAAGUUUAUCUCAGAAUGGCUUUAUCAUCUUGUUAGGUGUGCCACAGAAGCACUCAAAUGUCUCUGUGGGUUACAUUAUUCUUAUUAUUAACUCUCAUUAGACCUUUACGUUGGAAAAUUAUUUUAAUAAAUUAACCACAGACAUUUUCCAUUUUCUCUAUCAUUUAAGAUACAUUUGUUUUUUGUUGUUGUUGUUUUUGUUUCUGUUUGUUGUUUUUACUAUUUACUCUGAUGCUUGCCUGAAGAUUCUGCUAUCAGCUACAGGUCUGGGUUUGUGUCUCCGACAAAGAACCACCUCAAAGCCCCACAGAAAAGGACUGUACCGUAUACUUCAAACUAUUGACACCUCAAAGAACAGAGCUUGGGUUCAGGCUUCUGAUGCAUUCUGAGACACUCUCAGACCAUACCAGUGGGCUGGGUCAGGAUUUACAGAACUAUUUUCAUUUCAAGAGCAUACGGGCUCAUGAGAUUGCUAACUCAAGAUCCGGUGGAACAGAAAUACUUAUAUCGGACUGAAUAAACUGAUGAGGAAAAUCUUAUUGCAUUUAUUGGUAGAGAAUACUAUUGAUGUUUAAAUGUUCUCUUUUCCAUAUUUAAAAGCAAACAAGCACUUUCUUUUUCUUCUUAAACUCUCUGUAAUCCGUAAUGAUUUAGUAGACUCUGCUCUUUCUUUUUGUUUUUGUUUUGCUUUGUUUUUUGAGACGUAGUCUCACUUUGUUGCCCAUCUGGGGUGCAGUGGUGGGCUCUUGGCUCACUGCAACCUCUGCCUCCCGGGUUCAAGCAAUUCUGCCUCAGCCUCCCGAGCAGCUGGGACUACAGGCACCUGCCACCAUGCUCGGCUAAUUUUUGUAUUUUUAGUAGAGACGGGGUUUCACUCUGUUGGUCAGGCUGGUCUCGAACUCCUGACCUCAAGCAAUCCACCCGCCUCGGCCUCCCAAAGUGCUGGGAUUACAAGCGUGAGCCACAGCACCUGACCUGACUCUGCUCUUUUAUACUGAAAUGUAACAUUUUAAAAUGAUAUCUGAUUCUCCCCGAUUCCUCUGAAAUCAGAAAUUCUUAAGUGUCCUCACUUUUCACAUCAAUAUGCUUGUUUGUAUAUGUUCAGUAAAAAUCUGUCUUUUAAAAAAAUCAGAAUAUAAUUAGGAAAAUCAAAUAUACAAGCAAGGCCUUUCCUGCAAUGUCACAUUUGUGAAUAAUCUCAUUUAAUGGAACUUAAUGGGGCCAAUACUUAUAAGGUCUUCCCCCAAAAAAUGGCCUGGUGCCUCAUUCACAGAGUCCCAGCCUUACAGGAGUAAAGGCUUGACUGAGGCUGAAAGCUUCACGGCAGGACGGCUCACUUCUGCCUGUUGGCCAGAGACCACAGGGCCUCUUCAUGGGCAGCCUGGGUGUCCUCAUGACGUGGCAGCUGGAAUCGCCUACAUCCACUCAUCAAGGAAGAGAAGGCAAGGAGGAAGUUGCCAUCCUUUUUAUGAGCUAGUCUAAAAGUCACACUGUCACUUCUGCCUUAUUCUAUUUGUUAGAAAUGAAUCACUAAGGCCGGGCACUUGGUAGCUCAUGCCUAUAAUCCUAGCACUUUGGAAGGCCGAGGCAGGUGGAUCAC
rnacentral:lncRNA from 10 species